rnacentral:rRNA from 1 species
CGCCUUCAGAUUCAAUAUUGGAGGUCUGGUCUGCCCAGUGUAAUUAAUUAACGGCCGCGGUAUUCUGACUGUGCAAAGGUAGCAUAAUCACUUGCCCUUUAAAUGGGGGAAUGUAUGAAUGAUUAGACGAGGUUUUUACUGUCUCUUCCUUAUAAAUUGAGAUUACAAUACUUGUGAAAAUGCAGGUAAGGUAAUAAAGGACGAGAAGACCCUGUUGAGCUUUUAAGCUAAACUAUAGUACAGGUUAAGUUAAGUAAUAGUUUACAAUUAAAACGAGUAAUUUUUUGUAGGCUUUUUGGCUGGGGUGGCAAGCAAAGAUAUUAAGCUUUGUUGUAGUAUACAUUUUGUAUUUCUAGAUAAUAUAUAUCUAUAAAUAAUUAAAUUGAUCCGUUAAAAUAGAACGAUUAAAAGAAUAAGUUACCACAGGGAUAACAGCGUAAUUCUUUUUGAGAGCUCGAAUUGACAAAGGAGUUUGCGACCUCGAUGUUGGAUCAAGAUUCCUAGCGGUGUAGCAGCUGUUACGGGUUUGCCUGUUCGGCGAUUAAUAUCU